ensembl:misc_RNA Metazoa_SRP Metazoan signal recognition particle RNA
GCCAGGCAUGAUGGCAUGUGCCUGUUAUCCCAGCUACUUGGGAGGCUGAGGCAGGAGGAUCACUUGAGCCCAGGAGGUCUGGCCUGUUUUAUGUGCUAUGCUGGGUGCCCAUGCUAAGUUUGGUAUCAAUAUGGUGAUUUCCUGGAAGCGGGGGACCACCUGGUUGCCUUAGGAGGGGUGAACUGGCCCAGGCCAGAAACGGAGCGGGUCAAAACUCCCAUGCUGAAGUGUGAUUGCAUCUGUGAAUAGCCUGUGCACUCCAGCCUGGGCAACAUAGCAAGACCUCAUCUCU